GGAGAGUUGUCCGAGUUGGCCGAAGGAGCAUGAUUGGAAAUCAUGUAAACAUUAACGUGUUUCAAGGGUUCGAAUCCCUUACUCUCCGCCA
rnacentral:tRNA from 5 species